UGCACAUACCAUGCAUAUACCUCACUUGGAGAUAGGCAACAAAGAAGUCACCUCCCAUACUGGGAACUCUGGACCACAAUGUAGAAACUCCAUAGCUUCCUGUGCAGAUGAGCAGCCUCAUAUCGGAAACUACAGACUGUUUGAAAAUGAUCAGCAAGAGGAAUUUUGCAAAAGUGAAAUUGGCAUGACACAUCCUCACAGGCAGAGGGUUGCAAUAAAAAUAAUUGAUAAAACUCAGUUCAAUUCAACAAGUCUACAAAACCUCUUCAGAUAAGUAAGAACAAUGAAGAUUUUAAAUCGUCUAGAUAUAGUGAAAUUGUUCAAAGUCAUUGAAACUGAAAAAACAAUCUUCUUAAUCACGGAGUAUGCAAGUGGAGGUGAAGUAUUUGACUAUUUGGUUGCAUAUGGAAGAAUGAAGGAAGAAGAAGUAAGAGCUAAAUUUAGACGUAUGGUGUCUGCAGCACAGUACUGCCACCAAAAGCAGGUCAUUCACAGGGACCUCAAG
rnacentral:lncRNA from 1 species